UUGUCCAUGUCAAUGUCACCUCUCUGCAAUGUUGCCUAUUCACAACAAGCACCUUAUAUAAAGUUCUGUUGCACUUGUUUUUUAAAAAAAUGCAACAAUGUCUCAGAAAAUGUGUUUAAGCAAUUCUGAAAAACUCAUGGAGAGGAGCUGUUCUUCCAGGAAAGGUGCUGAAUCCUGGCACUUUUUGUAGGUUAGUUUCAUAAGGCCACGUGCUUCUUGUACAAAGAAAUAUAGACUGUAAAACAUGUAAACCUUUGAAAAUGCUACACAGCCUCUCCACACUUCACAUCAUAGAGAAACCAUCGUGGGAUUUCCAUUGGGACUCCCAUCUCUCUCUCUCUCUCUCUCUCUCUCUCUCUCCCACUCACCCUCCUCGCUCUCCGUCCUCCAGUCCCUCCAGCCUGCAGAGUUUUCCGUCCUGUGUUGGGAUAACAUCGUAAACGAGGACCACCUGACGGUAAGACCGGACUAAAUGGAAGCAGCGGAGGAAACUCUCACUUACCGAGAUGACAACGAACUUCACAGGAAGCUGCUCCCAGAGGACAAGGAUAAGGACAAGAUGGACAGUAAGGGCCACGCCACCGAGACAAAAAGCAACGAGUCCAACUAUGUGGAUCUGGACAUGAAACCGGACGGCGUAAAAACAGUGAAAGUGACUUUCACUGGCGAGGGAAGCCAGCUGUCUGUUAUGAAAUACGACAGUUCAAAGCAAGAGGAGCAUGACAAUGAUGGUAAAAUCAUUUCAGAGAACUUUGUUGAAGAGUUGGUAAAGGACGGGCCUGUUUCGGGUGAGCCUCCUUUGGAAACUCUGAUCAAACUUCCCAACACCGAUCAGGACUCCGCGAAUGAGAAGCAGCGCCAGGCCGAGCUCGACCCGAGUGAUUGCAGUGAGCAUGUGUGCAGUGAGAGUGAUGAGCUCCAAUACACGGACAUGUAUCUGAACAGCAAGACGGAGUCUGAUGAUGGUGCCAGCGCAGUGCUGUCCGACCACUGCGGCUCCGACACCGUAGAGGACGAGUCCCACUAUAUCACGACGCACGAAAUCCAGCUGACGGAGCUUGACCACGAUGUAGAUUACGACCUGGGGCGAGGGACCUGUUGGGAUUUUGAAGACAACAACCUGGUUUAUUCCUUUGUGGAUUACGCGUCUUUUGAAAGCGAUGACACGCAGGAGGGGACUUUGAUACUGGAGGGCAGGAGCCAGGCGAAAGUGCAGUCUAAUCUUGGUGGAGCAGUUGUCAGCACCGAGCAGGAGGAUAGUGAUCUUUGUGACUCGGACAAAUGUGCCAGCUCAGAUGAAAGCGUGUGCAAAAACCAAAGCGGAGACGCUAAUGCGGGGAAAAUUCAUGUAUCAAUAAAAACAUCCUCCAGGGCGGUGAACGCGCCUGUCAACAUAUCUGACAACAGCACCUGUGGGUACACAAAACACUUUGGAGACAGGAGCCAUUUCUCUUUUGUGAGCUCUGGCGCCAGAGCGGGUCCCUUGUGCGAUAGAGCUCAAUAUUUCAUCCCUGCUCCGGGCCGUCAGCACCUUGCAACCAAACUAAGACGGAAAGAUAUUAAUGAGUAUUCCAGCGGAGCGUCCAGCUCCAUCAGUGAGCUGGACGACGCUGAUAAAGAGGUGCGCAAUUUAACCGCCAAGUCUUUCCGGAGCUUGGCAUGUCCAUACUUCGAUGCCAUUAAUCUUAGCACCUCCAGUGAGUCCUCUAUGUCGGAAUAUGGGCUAAAUAAAUGGUCAGCUUAUGUGGACUGGAAUUAUGGAAACAUAUCGCGGGGGAGAGAGCGGAGCGUAAUUGCGCACAAGACUUCCAGCGCAACUUUGGAAAUGAAUAAGACUGUGGACAGUAAGAGGCAUGGCAAGUCUAUUACCGGCAUGAAAGCUCCACAAACCAAAACGUACGCACUGAACAAGAGAACAGCUUCUCAACAAUCUUCCUCUUCUACCAAAAAGAUCGAACUGAAAGAUCCUGCUCAGCCAAAGCAGCGUGGAGUCACACUGAAUUUCCGCUGUAAUGUUGAAGCGCCUGAAGACGCCAGACGUCUAAAAUGCUCCAAGAAAGCACGAUCCAAUGAGGUUACUGGGACUGUGUUGGCCAGGUCAGGGUGUGAAAUGCAGUGUCAUCAAGCAGAUAGCAUGGGGGAUACACACAAAAGAGCAGUUUUUGCAUCAAGUCUGUUAAAAAAUGUGAUUUCCAAAAAGAUGCAGUUUGAACAGGAGCGCAAAAUGGAGAGGGGUGAAAUUUGUGACACAUACCCAGCACUCUCACCUUGUUUUCAAUUCAAAGAUCAAGAUGGGAUGAGAGAAAGGAGUCAAAGAAGAGGCUUACAAAGACAGACAUCAGAAUCAGGCUCAGGAUUCACUGUUAAUUCUGCUGAUGAUCAACACCUGGAGGGCAGCAGACCUAGUUCCUGUGAGCCUGCAGAGGAGCAGGAAAGCAACAAAGCACCAGAUGAUGCAGAACAGGGACAACAUGAGCCUCCGAAAGCACUGCUCAGCCACAGUCAAACUAGUGCAUUUAAUUCACCGAAAGAAGGUGAGCCUAAACCUGAAAGUGACACACAGACCACAGCAAAAGAAGGAUUAGACAACAGCAGCAUGCUGACAAAACUGCUUUUUGUUCCAAGCUGCCAGCUCCUUUCAAGAGAGAAGGAUUUUACAGAAGGCUUGCCAAGCCAUCCAACUGUCACAGGAGCACCUGCUGGCCCACAAAAAUGUGAAAAAGAGUUCAAAACAGGCAAUGAUGGAAACAUAGGCAAAGAAGAAAACGAGAAGGGGGGAAAAACCCCUGAGAUCAAAAUAUGCCUGAGAAGUGUGAAGGAAAAUAAAGGCUGUACACUGAAUAUUGCCAAUCUGUUAACCCCUAAAAUAAGUUACAACACUGUUAACACAUUCAGGGCAGCAGGUGAUGCCAAAUGCCACGUUUUAUCUGCUUCAGAUAAAAUUCCAAACUUCAUCGUUAGAGACAUAAGAGACACCAAAUGCAAGUUUCAAACACCAAUAUAUCACGUCAGAGAUGUCCGUAAAUUGGUCAAAAGUUCCUAUCGCUUUGUUUCUUUGGAUAAUAGUGACAGUAAAUGUUCCACAGCAGCUGAUAAACUUGAGGAAAAGACCACAAAGGAGCCAGUUAAGCAUGUAUUACCAUCUCCUAUUGUGAUUAAAUGUCACUCUGUAAAAACAAAUGUUAAACAACGGACAGCUGAGGUGUCACAGACACAGGCAGAGGCAGGAAUCCCAUCUGAAACAUCUCAAAGUGAAAAUACACCAUCACAUUGCACAACUAGCAGGGCACCACCUGUUGUAUGCAAGCAGCUACACCCUGACCAGUCAGAAAUUCAGCCAAAUAUUGAAACCAAACUGGCAAAACAGAGGCAGGAAAAGUUUGUGGGUGAGACAGCUGAAAAGAGAAAUGAGCCUAGAGUGCCAAAACAGGCUGCGUUAGAGAAGCUUAAAGCUGCAGUGAAAACAAUGGAGCAGCUUUAUGUUUUUGAUAGAAAUGAAUGGAAGCGUAAAACUCAAGCUCCACAACCAAUCACAGGUAGCCAUGUGUUGUCACUUAUUGCCAGCGAGGAGCAGGGAGCAGAGGAGCUGGAGAUGACAAACACUGACAGGAUUCCCCAUUCUUUGAUAAACACCACAGUCACAUGCAAACCGCAGGAAGAUAAAGGAGCUCUGAGUAUCAUACAUGUUCCGUAUAACGAUGACACGUUUAAAACACAAUCCCAGCAAAGUAAAACAUUUAGUAACAAAAGUGUCCUUCAUGUUGGCAAUAAGGCACGUGUCAGCAUUAGUUCAGUUAGCAACCCUAUUCCACAAAGCUCUGCGCUGCAAACAUCAUCAACUAUGAAAAGCCUCAAGACACCGGUGUCACCGCUGUCGGUGAAAAUAGAGCCCCCGAAACACGGCCAGGUGGAGCAGGGAAAGGUCAAAAUCAUUCCCAUUAAUCCCUCUGUCGCACAGGCCUGCUCAGACUCUGAGAACUAUUUAACCAUACCGGGGCUGGGGUAUAUAAAUGAAAUCAAACUGCUGAAUCCAGAGCCUGUUUCGAGGGAAGUGAGUUCAAACCAAAUCAAAACAGGUGACAGAACGAUGCCUGAGCAGAAAAGGUCUCCGUUAAUCAUGGAGUACCCAGCUUCAAGCAUCUACCAUCACUUGGGGGCAACAACAGGGCCUCAAGUACAACAGCAAGUGCUAUGUUUCUCUCCCUCUGUCCCAACUGUGUCACCUACACCUUCUACCGGAGAGACAGUCCCGCAAACCCAGCGCAAGAUGCUUUUGGACCCCACUACAGGACAUUACUACCUGGUGGACACUCCCAUACAGGCCACCACAAAGAGACUGUUUGACCCUGAGACAGGCCAGUAUGUUGAUGUACCCAUGCCCAAUUCUCCUGUGGCACCUGUCACCCCUGUUACCCCUGUCACCCCUGUGCCUCUCUCUCUGUCCCCCAUGGCACUAAGCCCAGCAGCGUACGCCCCCACCUAUAUGAUCUACCCGGGAUUCAUCCCAUCGCCCACUCUGCCAGCCCAGGUGCUGUUGCCACAGUCACCAUGUCACUCUGAGGAUCCAGGUGGAGAAAAGGUCAAAAACGCCAGAAGCCCUAGGCCAGAAACUGAUGCAACAGGCGCAGAGAGUGCGUAUUACAGCGCAACAGGUGAGGCUCCACAAGGGCCACUGCAACUACCUGUGAGCUUGGGACAUGUGACCGCCAGAGGAGGCGCAGCAAGCUCAGACAGGAAGCCAGUUAUCAGCAUCACAACGCAACAAGGUCCAAGAAUAAUCGCCCCACCCUCCUUUGAUGGAACAACAAUGAGCUUUGUAGUGGAGCAUCGGUGACCAAGGAAACAUCUUAUCAUACACGGAGAAGGAGGUGGAGAGCACUGCUGACCUGCAGCACUCCUACGUAAACAAAUCAAGUAGCUUGCCCCCUGCAGUGACUUGGCUGAAUCUGGUCAGCUGGUUCAGAACCAGGAACUGCAGACAUCUCCAACGAAGAAUUUGCCUUCAUUCACCGUAAGUGCAGUUUUCACCCCCGUCACCCCUCCCUACCUGUGAUCUAUUCAGCAGGACAACUUCCACCAACAAUAAUUUGUAUCCCCACCCUGUUGUGUUGUUUAUUCUUGCAGCCUUACUGUAAUCUGUAUGCAUUGCAGCACUUUGUAGGGUAAAUGCAUUCAGCCACAUCCUCUGGCUGAUGCUCUGCCAUACUGCUAUAUGAAUCUGCUUUGUAAUACUUUCCAUUCAGCUGCUAUCUAGAACUCUUGAAAUGUUGUUUGGGCCCUGCAACAUGUCUAUUCAAAAGGAAACAAAGCAGGUCUUCUAUUACAGUUACAGCUACACUAUCGGCCAAGCCACUAUUUUAUUAUUAUGAAUUUAAUGUUACCAUGUCUUUAAUAAAGCGAGACUAUGUAACUUUUGAAAGGAAAAAAAUAAUCUUUUUAUAAAUGAAAAGUUGAACUCAUAAGCAAUAAAAUGCAACCUUGAUGAAUUCAAUACACUCAGGGGAUUUGCUGCUACAACCUUUCUUGGUUUGGUAUGACCAUUUUAGCUAAUGUUAGCAAACUUGAUAGAUAUUACUGUGUAACUGACAUUACUGAGUCAGUUUGCUGACAUUAUGUCUGUAGUUGUGCUACUGUUACACUCCGUUUUAGGAUGUCACAGAUAAAUGUUUCAGUGUUUUUAUCAAAGAUAAAACAAGAAGUAAACACACCUUACCUCACCAGGAGACAUGGAUGUAAGCUCAAGAAAACUGGAUACGUUACAGCGAGUCAGCCUUGCUAUGUCUCCCCAUAGGCCGCCAUUAUUAAAGAGACAUCGGUAAAACUCCCACUUUCAGAAAAUUCUUCCUGCAUCCUGGGGAAAAGCAUGGGACACUGAAUAAGAGUGGGUCAUGUUCAAAGCCUCCAUUGCAGGAGCUACUGCUCAGAGUUGUGGCCAAAAGGUUACCUGUGCUUGUUGUAGCAGCAACCAAAGAACCCGCUGGUUGACACCAGUGGUGAAGGAGGCCGUCAAACUGACAGAGGAGUCCUUUCAGGCUUCUUUGUCCUGGAGGAUUCCUGAAACAGCAGGUAUCAGGAGGCCAGAAGGACUGGAGCUUCUUUGGUCACGGAUGCAAAAACUCAGGUGUGGGAAGAAUUCAAGGAAGCCAUGGAAAAUGACUUUUAGUUCUCGAAGAGGUUCUGCCAAACUGUCAGAUGACUCUGGAGGGCAAGGCAGGGUUUAGCCCAGGCUGUUUUUAGCAUGGGAUUAGAAAUGCUGACCCAGACAAACAAUAUUGUUGGACAGUUGAUGGAACACUUUGAGGAACACCUGAACCCAACUGACAAAUCCUCCAUAGAGGAGGCAAAGCUGGAAGGCUCUGGGAAAGCCUUGUCCACUAGCAGAGGUCAAGGAGCUCCACAGUGGCAAGGCACUGGGGGUGGAUGAGAUUUGCACUGAGAUGCUGAAGGCUGUGCACAUUGUGGGGCGGUCUUGGUUGACACGCCUACUCAAUGUUGUGUGAUGGUCAGGGACAGUGCCUGGGGACUGGCAGACCAGGGUGGUGGUUCCCACACCAGAGGGUGUGCUCCAAUUAUUAGGGUAUCACAUUGCUUAACCUUCCUGGGAAAACUUAUACCAAGGUACUGGAAAGGAGGCUCUGACCGAUUGUCAAACCUUAGGUCUAGGAGGAGCAGUGCAAAUUCUGUCCUGGUCAUGAAAUAGAUGACCAGCUCUUUACCCUUGAAAGGAUACUGGAGGGGUCAUUGGAGUCUGCCCAUCCGGUCUAUUGUGUUUUGUGGAAAGACUUGUGACUGUUUCCCCCAGGGUACUGUAUCUUGAGAAUGGUGUACCGCAGCCAUUAUAAAGAGCCAUUCAGUCCUUGUAUAACUGGAUUGAGAGCUGUGUCCACAUUCUCAGCAGGAAGUCAAGCGCGUUCUCAGUGGGCAUUGGGCAACGCCAGACAGUGGCGGACUCGGACUGUUUGAGGGGCAGGGGCGAAAAAAAUUAAAAGGGCACCAGCUGUAUGCGGUGUGGUAUAUAGCACUGAAUUGCAAAUUCCUUACUGGAAGUGGAGACAUGAGGGCUGUUUAUCACAUUUUAUCUACCAUAGGGGCAUCCAAGAGGGCACUUUUGCUGCGUUUUUCCGAACAUGGGGGUACAAGGGGGGGCAAUUGCACCACUGUAACUGCUGCUUGUGGCCUCAGUGGCCAUUGUUAUUUAAAAGUUACGUAGUCUUGCUUUAAUUCACACAAAAAGAUAAUUACUUAUGGUGAAUACAACCUUUAAUGUGUAAUUUACACAGUUUUCUGAGGACAGGGACCAUUUGUCUGCACUGAAUUAAAAAAAAAACUCCCCAGAUUAAGGGGUAGUGUUGAAUCACCCCUUUUUUUACAGUAACUUCAGUCAGAGGAGGAAUUCAAAUUAUUGUAAUUCAAAAUAAUAUAUUUUAAAGAUGUCCCAAGUAAAUGAUAAAUAUUUGACAUUGCUAUGUAUAAUUUUAACCUCCCAGCGCAAAUUUUCCACAUUCACAAUAACAUUUCCAUGUUUUUUAGGAGUCAUAGCUUAUGUUCUACUUGAAGUAUGUGUAACUUCAUGACUCAAAAAAUCCUGCUAAUACCUGCACAGCUGAUAUGUUGUAUGAAGUGGUGUAUGUUUAUAUUUUAAAAGCACGUUCCUCGCAUGUUACAGCGCAAAGAAAUGACAAACACACCAAGUGUGUUGCUCAGAUGAAGUGGAGCUGGGACUCUGGUUUAACAGUGUACUUAAUACAGUAUUUCCUUAGUAGUGUUGGGCCUAAUGAGUCAGAGCCAGCUGAGACAUUUAGGGGAUAACUUCCUCUAUUCGUGUUGGUUUAUUUUACAUUUUUGUGUAACGAGAUGGGAGUUAGUGCGUGUGCAUCUGAAUGUGUCUGUGUGUUAUGUAUGGCAUUUCAGCAAUCUGUGAGCAUACAGCAAGGAGUCAUGUUACUUCACUGUAGACAGGAGCAUACAAACUGGACAUGUGUUGGGUGUGUCUUUACACUUUACACAGCAAUGUCAGUUUCUCUUGUUUAAACACCUUGACCUCUUUGAAUGUGUAUGAAUUUAGGUUUUCAUUAAAAUGUCACAUUAACUGAUGACAUCCACCCUAGAAUUAAAUAUAUUUUAUUAUUGCUUUCUGUACAGUGAAGCUCUGAGAUUACUUUCUUUUUUCUGUUUCCUUUUGAAUAUGCAGUGGGGGCAUCAUAAGUCAUUGUGUAGAAUUAAUACAAACUGUAGAUUGCUACUUUUAGCAUGUUUCAAAUCUAAACACAUAUUAAAGGUAUUUGGAGCUGCUGGUCAGUCUAUGUACCUUAAUUCUGUAAAAUACAUGUUAUUAUGCCUCCGUGACAACAGACUUUAUAUAAAUUGCCCUAUGAGUUGAUUUCAUUAUAAGUGAUAUGAAUUCAUGCAGUGAUUUGGAAGACUUGUUGUUGACUAUGCAGUAGAUUGGACAUGGUUUGCUCUUUAGAGCAACUUGAUGUUAGCACAUUUAAUCCUUUUGAGGUGAAAAGUAACUUAAAUUUGUACAUUUAAUUCACAAGACAUUGUACUUCGUAAUGAUAGUAUUUUAAUUAUGAUUCUAAAUUAACCUUCCCCUGAGGCAGUUGAGAGCAAUGUAAGUUUUUUUUUUUUUUAAAUAAGUUAUUUAUUUAGAAUUAUAAAUCUGUUGUAUUUACUUUUUAAAAAAGUAUCCAAAGAAAAAAAACAACCAAAGCAACAACUUUUCUUAGGAACUAUGAACUAAGUCCAAAUUGAGAGAUAUGAUAAACUACCUCCUGCCAGAGAGUUUUAAAAGUAUGUGUUUGAUCAGCAAGUUGUUCAUUAAAGCACAUUUACAUAUCAUUUUGAAACCCUGUGAAGACUAACAGAAAUAAGAAACAUAAUUUGUAAGCUCCAGUAAACCAGCUAUUCUAAUGUUGUCAUAAACAUAAAACUGAUCAUAACCUUUCUCCCACAUGCAUUUUAUUAGUUUCUUGUAUGACCUUUAUCUGUGAAUAAUAAUGUACUUAAUGCACUUGGAUUGUUACUAAUUUGUCACCAACACUGACAGCAAUGAAUAGCUGUAAACAUUGGUGAUAGCAGGAGCACUAUAUGGACUUGGUUAAAUGUAAAAUGAAACAUUGUAUUGUUUCUGGUGAAUUUUGCCCAAAGAUGCACUGUAACAUAGAUAAUAUCGUUUGUUUUAAAACAUUUUUCCAGAUGUCCUUUAACAAACCUGCUGACUUUGAGGUUAAAUAUUGGAAAUUUACUGUAUCAAAGCUUGCUUUUGUAUAAAGAAAGAGGGUUAACCGAAGGUGAGAUGGUCUGAGAUAAGUGCAUUUAAGAAUGUUCAAAGAAAAAAGGCACAUAUUUGAAUGAAAUGCCUUACAGUUAUACAGUGGCAUUGUAUAUGUUUUAUGCCUGAUGUAAACUGUGUUCGUGGCUGCCCCAGAAAAAGAUAGAGGUCAGGAUGACAAUGGAGAGAUACCUUGAAAGGAGAGGUGAGUGCUGUGUUUGCACUUACAAAGUAAUGAAUAUGAUGACUGAGUGUAACAAAGACUGAAAAGCCUACAUGUAUGUUUGCAAUAAAUUCAAAAUGCACGGUACUGAAAAUGUUUCUGUGCAUGAAUUUGUCUGUAUCUAAUGUGACCACUUAAAAAAAACAGAUGAAACCUAUGUUAGAGAAAUUAAAAAGCAAAUAUGUAAUUUUA